rnacentral:sRNA from 1 species
UCUCGAGCUCCUUCAAGCUCUUCUUUUUAAGUAUUGGACUUAGACUAUCUCUUUUAUAAACUACAAAAACAAAGAAACCCUAAGACGACAUUGGGACCUUUCGGUGCAGUCUCUUCUCUGCCCUAGCAUUGUCCUUCUCUGCUUUCAGCCAUUUUAAGUGAUUUGCUCUCCAUUUUCCCUGCCAUUCCUCCUUACUUGAAUAUCUUUGAACUCACAGCAAGCAUAACAUGGCUCACAAGCCCUUGUCUCCUGGCUGCUGCAGGAGUCUAUUAAAUAGCCUGUCAAAUCGUGUGAAGCUCUCAGUCAAGUAACUAUAUCCACCAUUUUGUCUCUACCCCGACUGGACAUGUAAGCCUCAAAUCCUAUCUUCAAAGUGAAGUUGGGGAAUGUGAGACGGCAAAACGCGUAAAUCAUUUGCCACCAAGACUGAUGACCUCGGUUCAGUUUUCACUCUCCCAUGGUUGAAGGUAGAGCCUUCUGGUAGGAACCCAGAUAUAAGGAGGUCCAAAGAGCAAGCAAGGGUAACUGUAUACCUGGCUUUACUCUUUGCUGUCCAUCUAUCUCCCUUAUUGUUGCUGCUGUUGCUAUGAUGUCAUCAGCCACCUUGCUUGGUCUUCCAACAUGGACUGAAGAUCAAUGGCUCGCUGGAAAUGUGUCAAGCUUUCAGCACCAGAAUGAAGUAUCUACCCUGUUGAGCAGCUACGAGCUCACAGCUUCUCCAGAUGCAGAGGCCACUGUUGUCUACCCAACCAGUAUCAUCAAAUGGAAACUCUAAAUUAAGACAACAAGUAUCUGAGAAGAUAAUAUUUCGUGGCCAUAUAGUCAACUCAAGAUAAACAAAGGCUUCCAACCAAGAAAGACAAGGUAGGCUUUGUUGUGUGUAAUUUUCAAAAGCAUGCUGUGUGCUCCACUGGCUACCUCUUCCUCCUGACUAGCUUUGCCAAGCUGCUAUCAACCGCCCCAUCUUCUUUCUUUCUCCUGCCCACUGUAGCUCUGUGGAAGGAAAACACUAGACAGCUUUAUUAUUUAAGAACUAGCCAGAUAACACAUUUGCUGGGCACAGAUAUUUCUUGCCCUUACCUCAUAAGCUAGCCUAUAUCAGCCAUCCAUUGGUGGCAGAGGCUUACAUGGUUUGCACCCUUCUUGUUCCAAAGUCUGAUCUGAAGAGCUCCCUUCUUUCUCUGGGCAUCUUCUCUACCUCCUCCUGGGACGCCAAAGUCCCACCUUUUUUCUUUCGCCUAGCAAUUGACUUCUGUCUUCUUUAUUGACCAAAUCAAGAACCA